rnacentral:rRNA from 1 species
AUUGAACGCUGGCGGCAUGCCUUACACAUGCAAGUCGAACGGGGGUAGCAAUACCCUAGUGGCGGACGGGUGAGUAAUGUAUCGGAACGUGCCCUUGAGUGGGGGAUAACCAGUCGAAAGAUUGGCUAAUACCGCAUACGAUCUACGGAUGAAAGUGGGGGACCUUAGGGCCUCAUGCUCGUGGAGCGGCCGAUAUCUGAUUAGCUAGUUGGUGGGGUAAAGGCCUACCAAGGCGACGAUCAGUAGCUGGUCUGAGAGGACGAUCAGCCACACUGGGACUGAGACACGGCCCAGACUCCUACGGGAGGCAGCAGUGGGGAAUUUUGGACAAUGGGGGAAACCCUGAUCCAGCGAUGCCGCGUGAGUGAAGAAGGCCUUCGGGUUGUAAAGCUCUUUUGUCAGGGAAGAAGAUGCUAUGGCUAAUAUCCAUGGUUGAUGACGGUACCUGAAGAAUAAGCACCGGCUGACUACGUGCCAGCCGCCGCCGUAACAC